rnacentral:lncRNA from 1 species
GUCACUGAACAGCUGGAACCCAAGGCUUCGGAAGAUGAGUCAGCAGCCCCAGUGGCAAAUAGGACCCAGUGGAUCCAGCCCUGCCUUGUCAAGUUCUGAAUGUUCUGGGAGGCACCAGCGUUUCUAUCUCCUGUGCCACUUCACAGAUGGCACAACAAAGCCAAGACUCCCUAAGUCAUAUUAUCAAAGUUGCUCUCUCAAGACCUUUAGUUAUGCAAGCUUCAAGGUCCUGCCCCUAUUCCUGAACCCCUGCUGCAUUUGUCUGGAUCAGCCCUCCAAGCAGUAUUUCUUGCUGUGGCA